rnacentral:rRNA from 1 species
CGUCACACCAUGAGAGUUGGAGAUACCCGAAGCCUGUGAGCUAACUUUUUAAGAGGCAGCAGUCGAAGGUAGAAUCAAUGAUUGGGGUGAAGUCGUAACAAGGUAGC